rnacentral:sRNA from 1 species
CCGAUAUCAAACACCAACUUCGAUCGAAUAUCAGAUAUCCGAUAGGUGGUGCUGUUAUUGUCGUAGGUAGCUUUUAACCUCUUAUUUUUAUGACAUUGUUUCUGCAUUUGUUUUUUUGAAAUGCAUCGUUUGAUACUAUGUUCGUUGAAAAUGACGCAUUGGGACCAAGCUUUUGGACAACUACAGGGAAAGUAUAGAUGCCAACUAUUGUGGAAAACUUUCUCCACAAAAGUCUCAUCUCCUUCGAUAUCAUGGUAACAACAACGCUCUAUUUCGCUUGCAGUUUUGUUUGGUCACCUUAAUUGGUUCAAGUUUUUUGGUGAAGCGAUUGUGGUCCAGUGUUUUUGGCGAAGGCUCAAGAAUCUGAUGAAGCAAAUCUCAACGAGAAUACCAGAAAAAAAAAAGAAAGAGAUAUUUUUGUGAAGACGGACCUUGUCCAUGGCGAUCAGCAUGUUCAAGUUAAUGAGAUCUAGCUGGAUACUGGAUAGAAGUUUUAUUUAUUUUUUAUUUGAAGAAAGAGGAUACAAGUCCUGCUCGGUACAAAGAGUUUCAGAUCGAUGGAAAGGCAUCCUACCACACCGCCUCUGGUGUAACGAAGUUCGUUGACCUCAUCGUCUUGAUGGGUUGAAAUGUCCACAGAAAGAAAACAAUCCCAAUGGGCUCAAGGUUUUGGCCCAACCGCCUAAAGAGAUUGAGUUUAGCCCAAGAGCCUUUGUGACGAUGAAUUUUUACAACGCGGUUUCAUGAAAUAGACAAGAACGAAAUAAAAUAAGGAUAGAGCAAAAUGAAUAGAAUAACUAUUCUAGGUUAUGCGGGGAGCAAACUUGUUGGGGUUGUUCUGCGGGGGGUUGCCUAAGUGGAAGGUGCAGGUCUGUGUGGAUUCCAACUUAGGAGUGGCUUGAAGCGAGUUGAACCUAAGAGGAAAAUUUUCUCCCAUCCAGAGCAUUCUCUUCUUCCUUUUUCUUUCUCCCUUAUUCCAUCUAUUUUCUCUCUGGCAGCGUCGCAGCAAAUUCCUAAUAAAUAAUUUUCAAGGUUUUUCGAUUCCAUUGAUUAUACCUACUCGCACAAAUACCUCGACGAUUCCCGCUCGUUAAUACGUAGAGCAUAUCUUGAGUCGGCACGGAAGUGGUAUCCCCGAUGGCAAACCCUAGGAACAGUUGCAUUUUGUUGUCAAAACGGAGCAUUACGGGACUAGGAGUGGUACUAUGCUUAAUGCUUGUUCAUCUGCUGCCGUUGCCGGCGUCAUCAGAAGAAAGUGUCCAAGUGCAGGGUGUUCUUGGGAUCCCAAAGUACCAGAGACCCCCAUGCAAUGCAGAUCAUCCGAAUCACUGCCCGAAGGCCGUCAAAGGUGCCCGUUCUAGGCAUUGCAAUGUGGCCAACAGAUGUCGUGGAGUCCAUGAGCCCCCCUCUCGAAGUUGAAGAUAAGCUGGCCAUGAUAGCCACUACUCUUGUGCAGUGUCCCUUUUUUGUGACCCUUCGUUGCCAAUUUUGAAGAACAGAAGUUGAUUCACACUCACACAUAUCAUGAAGCAAAAGAAUAGAACAUAUUUAUUAUAUACAACUGUGCUGGUGUUUUUAUUAUUAUUUUUUAUAAUUAAAGAAGGGAGAUUUGACUUUUGGUUUUUGAGACAGUGAGAUAAUGUAUCGAUCAAUGAACUAAGUGUUUGGGUGUUUGUUUUUCA